CCCCACCAGAACAAAUCACCCAGCCACAACACCCCCAGAGCUACAAACUGCACACAAAUAACAGAUCUAAUAAUACAAUGUGUACAUAGCCUGCAAAUCAGUAAAUUAAUCCCAAACUCUGAUAUCCACAGUGAGGGGCACCUGCUGCACCAUGUGGGAUUAGGCACCAGAGGGUGAGGGGGCACAAUGCUGGGGAGUCCCAUACCCCCUCCCAGUCUGGCCCCCUGCUGCACCAUGUGGGAUUGGGCACCAGAGGGUGAGGGGGCACAAUGCUGGGGAGACCCAUACCCCCUCCCAGUCUGGCCCCCUGCUGC